CUGCGGAGGGAUCAUUACCGAGUUUACAACUCCCAAACCCCUGUGAACAUACCACUUGUUGCCUCGGCGGAUCAGCCCGCUCCCGGUAAAACGGGACGGCCCGCCAGAGGACCCCUAAAACUCUGUUUCUAUAUGUAACUUCUGAGUAAAACCAUAAAUAAAUCAAAACUUUCAACAACGGAUCUCUUGGUUCUGGCAUCGAUGAAGAACGCAGCAAAAUGCGAUAAGUAAUGUGAAUUGCAGAAUUCAGUGAAUCAUCGAAUCUUUGAACGCACAUUGCGCCCGCCAGUAUUCUGGCGGGCAUGCCUGUUCGAGCGUCAUUUCAACCCUCAAGCACAGCUUGGUGUUGGGACUCGCGUUAAUUCGCGUUCCUCAAAUUGAUUGGCGGUCACGUCGAGCUUCCAUAGCGUAGUAGUAAAACCCUCGUUACUGGUAAUCGUCGCGGCCACGCCGUUAAACCCCAACUUCUGAAUGUUGACCUCGGAUCAGGUAGGAAUACCCGCUGAACUUAAGCAUAUCAAUAA
rnacentral:rRNA from 1 species